rnacentral:rRNA from 1 species
UACGUAGGGUGCGAGCGUUGUCCGGAAUUACUGGGCGUAAAGAGCUCGUAGGUGGUUUGUCGCGUUGUUCGUGAAAACUCACAGCUUAACUGUGGGCGUGCGGGCGAUACGGGCAGACUGGAGUACUGCAGGGGAGACUGGAAUUCCUGGUGUAGCGGUGAAAUGCGCAGAUAUCAGGAGGAACACCGAUGGCGAAGGCAGGUCUCUGGGCAUUAACUGACGCUGAGGAGCGAAAGCAUGGGGAGCAAACAGG